rnacentral:lncRNA from 1 species
GACAUAUAGUGGUUCGGUGCACCCCAGCACCUACAUCCACUCCCCAAGACCUCUUGGGAAUUUCACUAUAAUCCUACCGAUUACAGCCGGUUGUUUUACAAGCUCACAACCCAACUUGUUGUUUUACGAGCGUACAACGAACUCGGUCGGUUUUCCCAGGCUCACCGACUAGAACCAACCCCGAUUGUUUUCCCGGGCUCACAAUCAAACCCUUACACGUUGGUUUUACCCUCGGCUCACCAACAAACCUAAACCCCGUUGGUUUUCCCUUUGGCUCACCAACAAACCUUAAUUCCGUUGGUUUUCUCUUUGGCUCACCAACAAACCUUACACCGUUGGUUUUUCCUUUGGCUCACCAACAAACCUUUAACCCCUUGAUUCAAUCCCUUGAUUGAAUCAAGUUACAAGAUAUUAAAACAAAGAAUAAAAACAAAUCAAAGCUUCUUAAACAAGCAGAUAUGACAAUAUAAACAAAUAGAGUAAAGAGAAGCCCUCAAACGAGUUUUGAAGAUGGAGGAGCUCGGCUUCUUCUUUACUUGAUCCUCCUCUGAUUUGGCAU